AAUGAACGCUAGCUACAGGCUUAACACAUGCAAGUCGAGGGGCAGCAUGAACAUAGCUUGCUAUGUUUGAUGGCGACCGGCGCACGGGUGCGUAACACGUAUCCAAUCUGCCCGUUACUCGGGGAUAGCCUUCUGAAAGGAAGAUUAAUACCCGAUGGCAUGUAUUUCCGGCAUCGGAGAUACAUUAAAGAUUAAUCGGUAACGGAUGAGGAUGCGUACGAUUAGCUUGUUGGCGGGGUAACGGCCCACCAAGGCUACGAUCGUUAGGGGUUUGGAGAGGAAGGUCCCCCACACUGGAACUGAGACACGGUCCAGACUCCUACGGGAGGCAGCAGUGAGGAAUAUUGGUCAAUGGUCGGAAGACUGAUCCAGCCAUGUAGCGUGAAGGAUGACUGCCCUACGGGUUGUAAACUUCUUUUGUUUGGGAAUAAAAGACGCUACGUGUAGCGUUCUGCAUGUACCUUACGAAUAAGCAUCGGCUAAUUCCGUGCCAGCCGCCGCGGUAAAAC
rnacentral:rRNA from 1 species